GAUGAAGAACGCAGCGAAAUGCGAUACGUAAUGUGAAUUGCAGAAUUCAGUGAAUCAUCGAAUCUUUGAACGCAUAUUGCGCUCUCUGGUAUUCCGGAGAGCAUGCUUGUUUGAGUAUCAGUAAACACCUCAACUUCCAUAUCUUUUUUGAAAUGGGAGUUGGACUUGAGUGAUCCCAACGCUUUUCCUCACCGAAAAGUGGCGGGUUACUUGAAAUGCGGGUGCAGCUGGACUUUUCUCUGAGCUAUAAGCAUAUCUAUUUAGUCUGCCUAAAAAACAGAUUAUUACCUUUGCUGCAGCUAACAUAAAGGAGAUUAGUUCUUGUGCUGACUGAUGCAGGAUUCACAAAGACGGCUUCGGCCGACUUUGUAAACUCGAUCUCAAAUCAAGUAAGACUACCCGCUGAACUUAAGCAUAUCAAUAAGCGGAGGA
rnacentral:misc_RNA from 1 species